rnacentral:rRNA from 1 species
AUUGAACGCUGGCGGUAGGCCUAACACAUGCGAGUCGAGCGGCAGCACAGAAAGUGCUUGCGCUUUCGGGUGGCGACUGGCGGGCGGGUCAUAGAAAUAUCCGAAUUUGCGUUGUCUAGGGGCCUGACGCAGGCACACUUACGCCAUUCCCGCUGACGGCGUACGGGGGAAAGCAUCGGACCUUCGGACCUCGCGUGAUCCUAGGUCGGAUUAGCUAGUUGGCGGGGUAAAGGCCUACCAAGGCGACGAUCCGUAGCUGGUCUGAGAGGAUGAUCAGUCACACUGGAACUGAGACACGGUCCAGACUCCUACGGGAGGCAGCAGUGGGGAAUAUUGGACAAUGGGCGCAAGCCUGAUCCAGCCAUGCCGCGUGGGUGAAGAAGGCCUUCGGGUUGUAAAGCACUUUUGUUGGGAAAGAAAAGCAGUAGGUUAAUACCUCGCUGUUCUGACGUUACCCACAGAAUAAGCACCGGCUAACUUCGUG